rnacentral:tRNA from 1 species
GCGGAGAUGCCAGAGAGGCUAAUCGGGCCAGACUGUAAAUCUGGUGCGCCGUGAGGCGCUUCGGGGGUUCAAAUCCCUCUCUCCGCA